AUUGAACGCUGGCGGCAUGCCUACCACAUGCAAGUCGAGCGAGCGGCGGACGGGUGAGUAAUUUAUUGUGAUCUGCCUGAUCGCCGGGGCUAACUACUGGAAACGUUGGCUAAUACCGCAUACUCUCGUAUGAACCCAUAUUGGAUUAGCUAGUAGGUGGGGUAAAGGCUCACCAAGGCGACGCUCCCUAGCUGGUCUGAGAGGAGGAUCAGCCACACUGGGACUGAGACACGGCCCAGACUCGUACGGGAGGCAGCAGUGGGGAAUAUUGCACAAUGGGAGAAAGCCUGAUGCAGCAAGGCCGCGUGUGUGAAGAAGGCCUUAGGGUUGGAAAGUACUUGCAGCGGGGAGGCGGUACCCGAAGAAGAAGCAACGGCUAACUCCGUGCCAGCAGCCGCGGUAAUAC
rnacentral:rRNA from 1 species